GAGGAAUAUUGGGCAAUGGGCGCAAGCCUGACCCAGCCAUGCCGCGUGAAGGUAGAAGGCCCUAUGGGUUGUAAACUUCUUUUAUACGGGAAGAAACUUCCGAACGUGUUCGGGAUUGACUGUACCGUAAGAAUAAGCAUCGGCUAACUCCGUGCCAGCAGCCGCGGUAAUACGGAGGAUGCAAGCGUUAUCCGGAUUUAUUGGGUUUAAAGGGUGCGUAGGCGGAAUGAUAAGUCAGUGGUGAAAGCCUGCGGCUUAACCGUAGAAAUGCCAUUGAUACUGUUGUUCUUGAGUAUAGUUGAGGUGGGCGGAAUGUGUAAUGUAGCGGUGAAAUGCUUAGAUAUUACACAGAACACCAAUUGCGAAGGCAGCUCACUAAGCUAUCACUGACGCUGAGGCACGAAAGCGUGGGGAGCAAAC
rnacentral:rRNA from 1 species